UACGGAGGGAGCUAGCGUUGUUCGGAAUUACUGGGCGUAAAGCGCGCGUAGGCGGCUUUGCAAGUUAGAGGUGAAAGCCCGGGGCUCAACCCCGGAACUGCCUUUAAAACUGCAUCGCUUGAAUCCGGGAGAGGUGAGUGGAAUUCCGAGUGUAGAGGUGAAAUUCGUAGAUAUUCGGAAGAACACCAGUGGCGAAGGCGGCUCACUGGACCGGCAUUGACGCUGAUGUGCGAAAGCGUGGGGAGCAAACAGG
rnacentral:rRNA from 1 species